rnacentral:rRNA from 1 species
UCGAGGAUUGACAGACAGUUAUACAUGCCCUACAAGUAGGAGUCAGGUUUUAAACCUAAUGGCUCUUUCAUGAUUAUAUGAUAGGUGGUGCAUGGCCGUUCUUAGUUCGUGGAGUGAUCUGUCUGCUUAAUUGCGUUUCAAAAUUUAACUUGAGGACCGGGUUUUGGUUUGGCUAGUGGUUCUACGAUGACUGUGAACUGUCAUGUCUUCGGAUGUGCGACUAUUGGUCUAGGAUCACAUGACUUGCCCCUGGGACUCUUUUGAACGCAACGGACGUGAUUGCAACCCCUUGUUGAGAUUAGAGAUAGUCUCGAUAUUCACUGGACAAACUGGCUGCUUUAUGCAGUCUUGUUGAAUGGUGGAUAAACUCGGGGGACUGCUGACUAUAACCAUUUCUCAAAACAGAGGAAGGUUGCGGCAAUAACAGGUCUGUGAUGCCCUCAGAUGUCCCGGGCUGCACACGUGCUACAAUGAGUGGCGCAAUGUGCUAAUGUUUAAGGGAUAAGAGUGUGGUCAGUAGAACGUCGGGAUUUCCCCUGACGUCUCCCCCGCACGAUUAUCAGCCUUCCCUUAACAGGGCGGGCAACCUUUUCAAAAUACUG